GCCGGCUGGAUUUUCCCAUCACCAUGGCGGGACUCCAAUUGCACGCAAAGUGGACACAAGGCCUCUUCAGCUUAAUGCGCUCAAAAGAGGUCUUCUGAUUUUUCUGCCUGAGACUUAUUUCUUCAGCAAAUACAUACCGAGCAUCCGCUGAUACCCUGGAAUUACAGCAAACAUAAUCACAGCUAACGUUCAGUGGCACGAUAGAGAGAACCAUGCCAUACAAUGAGGAGCCAAGGCCGUGGGUCUAACAGCACACAAGGAACGAGGCCUCUCAGACCAGCUGCCUGCAAGCAACUGCAGCCUGCUGAUAGACACAGUUCUGAGCCUGGGAGCGGACCUUCCCCCCAGCCAGGUCUUGAAGAUAACACAGUCCCAAUGGCUUGCCUGCACCUUCUUCAGGUGGUGCUGUGGGUGCUGACGAUUCACUAAAAUUGAACAAAAGAGAUUCAAACAAACAAGCUGACAACAGUCUUCGAGAUAUGCACAAGAUACAAGAUUCCGCUGAGAAAGAAGCAGAAAACUGCCGUGGCACGAAAAGCCCAGA